rnacentral:rRNA from 1 species
AACUCAAAGGAAUUGACGGGGGAGCACCACAACGGGUGGAGCUUGCGGUUUAAUUGGAUCAACGCCGGAAAUCUUACCGGGACCGACAGCAAUAUGAAGGCCAGGCUGAAGACUUUGCCGGAUUAGCUGAGAGGUGGUGCAUGGCCGUCGUCAGUUCGUACUGUGAAGCAUCCUGUUAAGUCAGGCAACGAGCGAGACCCACGCCCACAGUUGCCAGCGUACUCUCUGGAGUGACGGGUACACUGUGGGGACCGCCGCUGCUAAAGCGGAGGAAGGAAUGGGCAACGGUAGGUCAGUAUGCCCCGAAUAUCCCGGGCUACACGCGAGCUACAAUGGUUGGUACAAUGGGUAUCUACCCCGAAAGGGGACGGGAAUCUCCUAAAACCAAUCUUAGUUCGGAUUGAGGGCUGCAACUCGCCCUCAUGAAGCUGGAAUCCGUAGUAAUCGCGUUUCAACAGAACGCGGUGAAUACGUCCCUGCUCCUU